rnacentral:rRNA from 1 species
AUUGAACGCUGGCGGCAUGCCUUACACAUGCAAGUCGAGCGGUAACAGGGUGCUUGCACCGCUGACGAGUGGCGAACGGGUGAGUAAUGCGUCGGAACGUGCCGAGUAGUGGGGGAUAACGCAGCGAAAGUUGUGCUAAUACCGCAUACGUACUGAGGUAGAAAGUGGGGGACCUUCGGGCCUCACGCUAUUCGAGCGGCCGACGUCUGAUUAGCUAGUAGGUGAGGUAAAGGCUCACCUAGGCGACGAUCAGUAGCGGGUCUGAGAGGAUGAUCCGCCACACUGGGAAUGAGACACGGCCCAGACUCCUACGGGAGGCAGCAGUGGGGAAUUUUGGACAAUGGGCGAAAGCCUGAUCCAGCCAUGCCGCGUGUCUGAAGAAGGCCUUCGGGUUGUAAAGGACUUUUGUCAGGGAGGAAAUCCCUAGUGCUAAUAACACUGGGGGAUGACAGUACCUGAAGAAUAAGCACCGGCUAACUACGUGCCAGCCGCCGCGGUAA